CUUUACUGUACUCUGUUAUUGGCUUUUGACAAUUCAUGUGUAGCAUAGCUGGGAGCCAGCGAAGUUCCGACGCAAGUCGGGAUGGAGGCAUCAGUGAAAUACCAGUCUUGAGUUGUCGGAAUUCUAACCAUCACCCGUGAAUCCGGGUAUGGGACAGUGACAGACGGUCAGUUUGACUGGGGCGGUUCCCUCCCAAAUUGUAACGGAGGGGCACGAAGGUUCUCUCAGCACGGUCAGCAAUCGUGCGUAGAGCGUAUAGGUACAAGAGAGCUUAACUGCGAGACCUACAAGUCGAGCAGGUGCGAAAGCAGGUCUAAGUGAUCCGGUGGUAGCUAGUGGUAGCGCCAUCGCUCAACGGAUAAAAGGUA
rnacentral:rRNA from 1 species